GCGUGGUGGGUAUGUACAUUCGUUUGUACGUUCAUAACCGGUUCAGCCGUUCGAGGCACUUGAGGAGGGAAAGACACGUUCCUUUGUGAUAAGAAGAUAGACAAUCAAGAAGGACACCAGGGGUUGAGGGAAAACCCAUCUCAAGGCAUAGUGGGAGGUGCUAUCCAGGAGAAAGCUUGAAAAGGCCUUGAAUCCAGGAGAGCUCUCAGAAGACGACAAUACCUAGGCUAGGUUAGACCACUGGGCCCUUACCAGACGCCACUGUGCUCCCCCCACCUUCCUGGGCCUGAGUUUCCCAUGCUUUGGGAAGCCCAAGUAUAUUUUUAAAGUCCAUAGUGUCCAGACUUAGAGAAGAAGACAUCUUGCAUCCUCACUAAAGACAAACGCUGUGCCUGGCUGUGGUAGAACUUGGAAGUCCUUCAAGCUUGCAAUUUUGCUCCGUUGCGCAAUUUUCAUAAACACGUGACCAUGCUGCUCCCCCACGUGUUCGGGUGGACUGAGAGAACUUCACCUACCCUUGUGUUUCCUGGACCUCUGUAAAUUUAUGUAAAUACAGUGCUUUUAA